UACGUAGGUGGCAAGCGUUAUCCGGAUUCACUGGGUUUAAAGGGUGCGUAGGCGGACAGGUAAGUCCGUGGUGAAAUCCUGCAGCUUAACUGCAGAACUGCCAUGGAUACUAUCUAUCUUGAAUGUCGUGGAGGUUAGCGGAAUAUGUCAUGUAGCGGUGAAAUGCUUAGAUAUGACAUAGAACACCCAUUGCGAAGGCAGCUAACUACGCGAUAAUUGACGCUGAUGCACGAAAGCGUGGGGAUCAAACAGG
rnacentral:rRNA from 1 species